GGAGGGGUGCUAGCGUUGCUCGGAAUUACUGGGCGUAAAGGGCGUGUAGGGCGGCUAGAGAAGUUCGGGUGUGAAAGCCCUGGGCUCAACCCAGGAAGUGCGCCGGAAACCAUCUAGCUUGAGAACCGGAGGGGAGCGUGGAAUUCCCAGUGUAGAGGUGAAAUUCGUAGAUAUUGGGAGGAACACCGGUGGCGAAGGCGACGCUCUAGACGGUUUCUGACGCUGAGACGCGACAGCGUGGGGAGCAAACAGGAUUAGAUACCCUGGUAGUCCACGCCGUAAACGAUGGAUACUAGGUGCUGGGAGGCUUGACCCUUUCGGUGCCGACGCAAACGCAUUAAGUAUCCCGCCUGGGAAGUACGGUCGCAAAGGCUG
rnacentral:rRNA from 1 species